AUAAUGAUACUUUUGCUCCGUCAUAGCCCCCCGCGACCGGGGGAUCACGCAAUGAGAGCAACCGGCAGAGAUCCUGGCGGGGGUGAAAUUCCCAUGA
rfam:Syntrophobotulus glycolicus DSM 8271, complete genome.